AAGAAUUUAAAAGUCGAACAGACUUAAAAUUUAAGCGGCUACACCUAAAAUUAUAUCUUAAUCCAACAUCGAGGUCGCAAUCUUUUUUAUCGAUAUGAACUCUCCAAAAAAAUUACG
rnacentral:rRNA from 2 species